GGAGGUGUGGUUCAAGUGGUAGAGUGGCUUCCUAGCAAGUAUGAGGCCUUGGGUUCAAGUCCUAGUACCACCA
rnacentral:tRNA from 1 species